CUGUCUCCUACUCAGGUGUCCACUACAGAUGCAAGAAGAAAACAUCCUUUUGCUUUCUGUCUGUCUGAUGGUGGCAGCCCAGACUGAAGGGGGAAGUACAGGG
rnacentral:snoRNA from 1 species